rnacentral:rRNA from 1 species
AGCGGCGGACGGGUGAGUAACACGUGGGUAACCUGCCCAAGAGACUGGGAUAACACCUGGAAACAGAUGCUAAUACCGGAUAACAACACUAGACGCAUGUCUAGAGUUUGAAAGAUGGUUCUGCUAUCACUCUUGGAUGGACCUGCGGUGCAUUAGCUAGUUGGUAAGGUAACGGCUUACCAAGGCAAUGAUGCAUAGCCGAGUUGAGAGACUGAUCGGCCACACUGGGACUGAGACACGGCCCAAACUCCUACGGGAGGCAGCAGUAGGGAAUCUUCCACAAUGGACGAAAGUCUGAUGGAGCAACGCCGCAUGAGUGAAGAAGGGUUUCGGCUCGUAAAGCUCUGUUGGUAGUGAAGAAAGAUAGAGGUAGUAACUGGCCUUUAUUUGACGGUAACUACUUAGAAAGUCACGGCUAACUACGUGCCAGCAGCCGCGGUAAUACGUAGGUGGCAAGCGUUGUCCGGAUUUAUUGGGCGUAAAGCGAGUGCAGGCGGUUCAAUAAGUCUGAUGUGAAAGCCUUCGGCUCAACCGGAGAAUUGCAUCAGAAACUGUUGAACUUGAGUGCAGAAGAGGAGAGUGGAACUCCAUGUGUAGCGGUGGAAUGCGUGGAUAUAUGGAAGAACACCAGUGGCGAAGGCGGCUCUCUGGUCUGCAACUGACGCUGAGGCUCGAAAGCAUGGGUAGCGAACAGGAUUAGAUACCCUGGUAGUCCAUGCCGUACACGAUGAGUGCUAAGUGU